rnacentral:rRNA from 1 species
UACGGAGGGUGCAAGCGUUAAUCGGAAUUACUGGGCGUAAAGCGCGCGCAGGCGGCCUUUUAAGUCUGAUGUGAAAGCCCACGGCUCAACCGUGGAAGGUCAUUGGAAACUGAAAGGCUUGAGUACAGAAGAGGAAAGCGGAAUUCCACGUGUAGCGGUGAAAUGCGUAGAGAUGUGGAGGAACACCAGUGGCGAAGGCGGCUUUCUGGUCUGUAACUGACGCUGAGGCGCGAAAGCGUGGGGGAGCAAACAGG